GAACGCUAGCGGCAGGCCUAACACAUGCAAGUCGAGGGGCAUCGGGAUUGAAGCUUGCUUCAAUUGCCGGCGACCGGCGCACGGGUGCGUAACGCGUAUGUAACCUACCUAUAACAGGGGCAUAACACUGAGAAAUUGGUACUAAUUCCCCAUAAUAUUCGGAGAGGCAUCUCUCCGGGUUGAAAACUCCGGUGGUUAUAGAUGGACAUGCGUUGUAUUAGCUAGUUGGUGAGGUAACGGCUCACCAAGGCAACGAUACAUAGGGGGACUGAGAGGUUAACCCCCCCCACACUGGUACUGAGACACGGACCAGACUCCUACGGGAGGCAGCAGUGAGGAAUAUUGGUCAAUGGACGCAAGUCUGAACCAGCCAUGCCGCGUGCAGGAAGACGGCUCUAUGAGUUGUAAACUGCUUUUGUACGAGGGUAAACUCACCUACGUGUAGGUGACUGAAAGUAUCGUACGAAUAAGGAUCGGCUAACUCCGUGCCAGCAGCCGCGGUAAUACGGAGGAUUCAAGCGUUAUCCGGAUUUAUUGGGUUUAAAGGGUGCGUAGGCGGUUUGAUAAGUUAGAGGUGAAAUCCCGGGGCUUAACUCCGGAACUGCCUCUAAUACUGUUAGACUAGAGAGUAGUUGCGGUAGGCGGAAUGUAUGGUGUAGCGGUGAAAUGCUUAGAGAUCAUACAGAACACCGAUUGCGAAGGCAGCUUACCAAACCAUAUCUGACGUUGAGGCACGAAAGCGUGGGGAGCAAACAGGAUUAGAUACCCUGGUAGUCCACGCAGUAAACGAUGAUAACUCGUUGUCGGCGAUACACAGUCGGUGACUAAGCGAAAGCGAUAAGUUAUCCACCCUGGGGAGUACGUUCGCAAGAAUGAAACUCAAAGGAAUUGACGGGGGCCCGCACAAGCGGAGGAACAUGUGGUUUAAUUCGAUGAUACGCGAGGAACCUUACCCGGGCUUGAAAGUUACUGACGAUUCUGGAAACAGGAUUUCCCUUCGGGGCAGGAAACUAGGUGCUGCAUGGUUGUCGUCAGCUCGUGCCGUGAGGUGUCGGGUUAAGUCCCAUAACGAGCGCAACCCCUACCGUUAGUUGCCAUCAGGUCAAGCUGGGCACUCUGGCGGGACUGCCGGUGUAAGCCGAGAGGAAGGUGGGGAUGACGUCAAAUCAGCACGGCCCUUACGUCCGGGGCUACACACGUGUUACAAUGGUAGGUACAGAGGGUCGCUACCCCGCGAGGGGAUGCCAAUCUCGAAAGCCUAUCUCAGUUCGGAUUGGAGGCUGAAACCCGCCUCCAUGAAGUUGGAUUCGCUAGUAAUCGCGCAUCAGCCAUGGCGCGGUGAAUACGUUCCCGGGCCUUGUACACACCGCCCGUCAAGCCAUGGAAGCUGGGGGUGCCUGAAGUUCGUGACCGCAAGGAGCGACCUAGGGCAAAACCGGUAACUGG
rnacentral:rRNA from 1 species